rnacentral:rRNA from 1 species
GAUGAACGCUGGCGGCGUGCCUAAUACAUGCAAGUCGAGCGAACAGACGAGGAGCUUGCUCCUCUGACGUUAGCGGCGGACGGGUGAGUAACACGUGGAUAACCUACCUAUAAGACUGGGAUAACUUCGGGAAACCGGAGCUAAUACCGGAUAAUAUAUUGAACCGCAUGGUUCAAUAGUGAAAGACGGUUUUGCUGUCACUUAUAGAUGGAUCCGCGCCGCAUUAGCUAGUUGGUAAGGUAACGGCUUACCAAGGCAACGAUGCGUAGCCGACCUGAGAGGGUGAUCGGCCACACUGGAACUGAGCCACGGUCCAGACUCCUACGGGAGGUAGCAGUAGGGAAUCUUCCGCAAUGGGCGAAAGCUUGACGGAGCAACGCCGCGUGAGUGAUGAAGGUCUUCGGAUCGUAAAACUCUGUUAUUAGGGAAGAACAAAUGUGUAAGUAACUAUGCACGUCUUGACGGUACCUAAUCAGAAAGCCACGGCUAACUACGUG